AGUGAACGCUGGCGGUAGGCCUAAUACAUGCAAGUCGAACGGAAGCACAGUAAGAGCUCGCCUUUACGGGUGGCGAGUGACGGACGGGUGAGGCAUACAUAAGCAUCUAAUUUUACGUGGGGGAUAUCGUAGGGCAACAUACACUAAUACCGCAUACGUCCAACGGGUGAAAGCAGGAGAUCUACACACUUUGCGCGACAGAUUGAGACGAUGCUGCAUUAGAUAGUUGGCAAGGUAACGGCUCACCAAGGCAACGAUGCAUAGCCGACCUGAGAGGGUGAUCGGCCACACUGGAACUGAGACACGGUCCAGACUCCUACGGGAGGCAGCAGUAGGGAAUCUUCCGCAAUGGGCGAAAGCCUGACGGAGCAACGCCGCGUGAGUGAUGAAGGUCUUCGGAUCGUAAAACUCUGUUAUUAGGGAAGAACAUAUGUGUAAGUAACUGUGCACAUCUUGACGGUACCUAAUCAGAAAGCCACGGCUAACUACGUG
rnacentral:rRNA from 1 species